CGUAGGGUGCUAGCGUUGUUCGGAAUCAUUGGGCGUAAAGCGCGUGUAGGUGGUCAGUAAAGUUGGGUGUGAAAUCCCUCGGCUCAACCGAGGAAGUGCACUCAAAACUCACUGGCUUGAGAGUGGUAGAGGAAGGUGGAAUUCCUAGUGUAGAGGUGAAAUUCGUAGAUAUUAGGAGGAAUACCGGAGGCGAAGGCGGCCUUCUGGACCAUUUCUGACACUGAGACGCGAAAGCGUGGGUAGCAAACAGGAUU
rnacentral:rRNA from 1 species